ACAGUCUUCUUCAGUGGCGUUUGAAAAAAACCAAUGUUAAUUUUAUCUUUUUAUAUAUACAAAAAUUCUUUUCAUUAUGAUGUUUAAAAUCUAGUGCUUAACAACCUACGAGGACUCCAAUUAUCCCAUCAGCCCAUUUUACCUUUGUCUUCUAGACACGCCAUGAUCUUCUUUAUGUAAGAAAUCAAUAAGAACGACAUGUCGUUGACUCAUUGUCAAGUUGGAUUCGUAAUUGAUGAUUCUUCUAAAUCUGAGCCGUUCAGUGUUUGACCACGUGAUAGAUGGUCUAACAACCGUUCGAUUUGACGACUGAACAUGUUAUAUACAGACUGAAGAAUGUAAGCGGUCUGAAUCUCUAAUUCCGUGUAACGCCCUAAAAUUUUGAAAUUAAGUUGGUCUUCCAUCCAUCGUUCUAUAAAAUCCAGGAAUAGUUGCUUCUCAUUUAUGCUUGCUGGCGGCUGACUGGUACAAAUUAUAUAUGAAAGCAGAUGGUCAUGGACACAUUGGACAUGUUAUGCUCCUUCGUUUUGUUGGUUUUGGUAAAAUUUUGACCGAAAUGGAGAUAGGCCCAAAAGCAGUAGCAAGAGAGCAGCCCAUUGGACUAGCCACUUCUUGAUUCUUGAUCAACAGAACAAGACUGCAUUUCGCUAAGUGUCAUUUGUCCUGACAAAAGAAGACUAUAAUCUGACUAGUAAUGAAUAUGUAUUCUCUUUCAGUUUGCCUUGGUACUUCAUUCUCUUUAAUGCAGUGCCGACCCUAUAUACUUAGGAUUAAGGCCAUUUAAUCCGUGCUGUUUAACUACAUAUUCUGUUGAGCGUUGUGCAUAUUUUCAUUUUUGAAUGUUGGCAUCUUUAAAAAUGCAACUUAAAUUAGCUUUCGCGACUCAAGUUUUAGAUCCGGCCUUCCUGUUAUUCAGUAAUACAGCAACCUUGCAAGGACAUUAUUGAAAUAAUUGUCACUGAUGAAAGCUUAAAGAUUCUUGUAAUUAUUGCAACAUUAAAUAUUUCAACCAAGCUCUUACACUCCUUUCUUUUGUGAAUUGCUUGUUCGGUGUGUUUAUCUACAAUUAUUUGAUAUGUAAUAGCAUCUUGGGCUUUGCAAUACGCAGUUGAACCCAUCUCCAAGCCCCAAGUAUAUAUAUAUAUUUGUUGAAAGUUUCUUUCUUUUUGUUUGUUUGUUUGGAGAAUUGUAUGGUUGGGGGAGGAGAUAUCAUUUCCAUGAAAUGCACUGGAAUUGUCAUCAUAACAUGGUGCCUCUUGAACUUUUUUUUUCCCCCAAGUUUUCUGGUCUGUACACGUUAUUCAGCCAAGUUUCUUUGGGAAUAAAAACGAAAAAAGACCCUACUAUUUGGUGCUACGGUUCUGCAAUAUGAAGGAGUAGGUAUACAAUAAUUUGUUCCAACUCUUUUACUCUUUAACAUGUACACAAAACAUUGUAUAUACAUAUGUUCCUUUACUUUUUCUCUUUAAAAGUGUUGCUUUUUAUAGAAUGCUGGUUGCAAAUUAAUGUCCAAAGUACUAUCCUGUGACAACUUGAAGUUCCUGGUGGAAAUUGUAUUGAUUAGUUGAUUGAACAAGCCUUUGAAGUUUGAAUAAUUGUCAGAAUGCAAGGGCUGCCUGCUUUUCUUGGGAAUCGCUGUUUUAGAGCGAAAGCCAAAUGUAUGAUGUAUUAUAUGGUGGACCCAUUUCCAUUUAUCAGUUUUCAGACUGAAAUUUUUUUAUCACCAAGAAAUAUAUAUUCAAUAAUUUUCCUUCAGAUGCAACAUAAAUACGCUUGCUCAUAUCGUCAGAGAUGGUUCUGUGUAAGAGAUGAGUUCAACGUUUUAAUGAGUAUGAUAAAAUUGUGGGGCAAGUUCUAUACUCCUGUACAUUUAUUUUAUCCGUGAAGUAGUUCCUUUUAGGUGCUGUUAAAGAGUGAAUAGCCUUUGUUUGCUAUAUGGGGGACCCAUGAUCAUUUAUCGAAGUUCACAUUGAAAUUUGAUUGCCUGAAAGACUGUCAUUCUUAUGAUUUCUUCAUAUGCCACCAUAAAUGAAUGCUCGUGUUCAUUUGUGAUAUGCUUUAUGUUAAUAUAAAGAUGAAUUCAAUGUGUAUUGAUGAGCUGAAUUAUAGCUUUACUUAUUAAGAUGGUUUGAGUAUUAUUUCCACGAGGUUUGACUAGCUGAAUGUCUGCAGAUAAUGAUUUAACGCAAUUAUAGCCUCGAGUGCUCAAAGUUUGAAAAUGGUGACCAGAAAUUUGAUGGAAAAGAAAGAUUGGGAUUUUAGCUUCUCGUUCGCAGAGGUGAGAAGUUUCAUUUAGACGAUCUGAUUGAUAGCUAAACCAAAAAGUCAGUGCAUUAUGCUUUUGAGUAUCUACUUUUGAUUUUUGAUGUUGAGUUUGAUCAGUACUACUUAACAAUAAAUCUGUUGCUGAUUUU